CUAGACAUGUUCAACUGAACUUAAAUUUGUCUUGUUUGUUUUCAGCAUACCAGUGUCUUUGCAUUAAUUCACAAGAAAAUACAUCAAAGACCCAGGACAACCCUCUAUUCUAAAUUCCGUUUGUGACCUAUAUUCAGAUAGGUGGGAUGUAUGGCUGGACUAGGCUCAGGACUUCCUAAGAAAUGCACUGCCUUCCCUCAUUUUCCUAUUGUCAUCUCCAUGAGCCUCGAGAUGGAAAAUUAUAUGUCAUCCUAGACAAUUAUCACUUUCAGAUCAAAGACUAAAACUGUGUUUUUGAGACAAAAAGAAGUCAGGGGAGGUUUUAAUUUCUCCUGGGAGUUUCCAAGUAGCCGUAUUCCACUUUCCCCUUUUUCUGAAACAGGUAAAUAAAUAGAUUGACUUUU